GGCGGCGCGGGAGCGCGAGACCGCGCCGGGCGGCGGAUGAGGCGCGGCGGCUGCGGCCCAGGGCACCUCCCCGCCCCCCGGCUUGCCGAACCCUGCCGGCUCUGACCCGAGGCGGAGGAUGGCAGCAGCAGCCGUGCUCUGAGCCCCUGCGGAGAACACCCUUCCCGCCGCGUCGCCCCGGGGGCCCGCGGACGCCGCCGCCUCGUCCCCUCCACGUCUCCCAUCUCCCAGAGCGCGGCCGAGUGCAAAAGUGAGCGAUGGCAGAAAACCUGAGGAAACUGGUCUCGAGCGAAACUUUGCGACUGAUGCACGACAAGCUAGACGGCUGGCUGAGGGAGUACAACGCAAACACAUGUGAUCAAAAUCUUAGUCAUUGCCUUGAGCUCAUCGAACAAAUUUCCAAAGUACAAGGACAGCUCUUUCGGAUCCUCACCACGGCAGCCCAAGAAGGCGGACAUUACGAUGGUGUGGAAAUCAUCAAAUCGCGCCUUCUGCCUUGGCUGGAGGCCUCCUUUACUGCUGCUUCCCUGGGAAAACCUGUUGACAGCAGGGUGCCCUCUCUACAGGACACAUUUGAUAAAGAGAAACAUAAAGAGUCAGGUGUUCGUGAUCGGGACAUGCAACAGCUAGACUCUGAGUUGACUUCGACUCGUAAUCAACUCAACCAGGUUCAAGACGAUCUGGCUGAAACUGAAAAGACUCUUGAAGAAACCAAGAACAGAUCGGCCAUAUCCCUUUUGGCUGCAGAGGAGGAAAUAAAUCAGCUAAAAAAGCAGCUUAAAUCUCUUCAAAUCCAGGAGGACUCCCGCCACCGAAACUUAGAACACAGAAGCACAGAGCACCGGUGUUCGGAGCCUAGAGCCUCCGAACCGAGGACCUCUGAGCAGAGGAGGCUGGACCAGCGACGCAUUGACAAGCGGGGCUCAGAGCAGCGGCCCGAAGUGAUUUCCGAUUAUGAGAAACAGCUCCGAACGCUGAAGGACGAGAUAGCGGUUUUGUCUGCUGAAAAAUCUGCACUUCAAGGAAGGUCCGCCAGGAGCCGGACUCCCAGCCCUGGCCCUCGCAGCCGUAGCCACAGCCACAGCCGCAGCCACAGUCACAGCCACAGCCGCAGCCGCAGCCGCAGCCACAGCCACAGCCGCAGCCGCAGCCGGUCCACCAGUCCCUCCGCCGCCGUCGUGAAGAUCAGGACCCCGUCCCCGAAUCGCGCCAAAAUGUCCAACGUGGCGCGCAAGGCUGCCCUCCUGUCCCGGUUCAGCGACGCCUAUUCCCAGGCCCGCCUGGACGCGCAGUGCCUGCUGCGGCGCUGCAUUGACAAAGCCGAGACCGUGCAGCGGAUUAUCUACAUCGCCACCGUGGAGGCAUUCCAUGUAGCUAAGAUGGCAUUCAGACAUUUCAAGAUCCGCGUGAGGAAAUCGUUGACACCAUCUCUCGCGGGGUCGAAUAACUUUGAAGAUGCUGUCUCGGAUUAUAUCAUUUGUCAUCUUGAUCUAUAUGAUUCCCAAAGCAGUGUUAACGAUGUGAUCCGAGCCAUGAAUGUCAAUCCCAAGAUUUCAUUUCCUCCUGAAGUUGACUUUUGCCUCCUCAGCAACUUCAUCCAGGAGAUAUGCUGCAUUGCCUUUGCCAUGCAGGCUUUAGACCCACCCCUAGAUAUUGCAUUUGGGGCGGACGGAGAAAUUUUUAAUGAUUGCAAGUACCGUCGCAGCUAUGACUCUGAUUUCACUGCUCCCUUGGUCCUCUAUCACGUGUGGCCUGCUCUCAUGGAGAAUGACUGUGUCAUUAUGAAGGGAGAAGCUGUCACCAAGAGAGGGGCUUUUGUACGGUGGCCUUGCAUAGUGACAAUUCAUCCCAAGUGUUUGAUUCACAAUGGAAUUCGGUGCGAUCUGUAAGUCGAUGUCGAAGCAGGAGUUUAAGCCCUGUCUGCCCCCGUAGCCGUAUUGGUUUAAGCACGAUAUCUCGAAGCCGGAGCCCUUCUCCAAUAAGAUGCGGAUUGCCGAGGUUUUAAAGCCACCAGACGUGUCCCUUUGCUACAGUACAUCUGCACCAGCAACUUCCCCAGUGCCUGUCUCCUGUGCCUGCCUCAGAACUCACUAAAGAUAAUGUGAAAAUGCAAUUCUGUGUAUCCCUCCACACGGAGAGUUAAAUGUCUUGGCUUAGCAUGUUUGUAACUUCAGAUAUAUUGCAUUUUAUUUUAUUUUAGAGAUACAAAUUCCAUUACUUUGAUAAAAAUGAUUGCAUAGGUGUUUAGGAUCAUAUUCAUUUGAAGCAAAGUCCCUCAGGGUUUUCAUCCUCAAAUACUAGGCUCUUCAGUGGCAACUGUAGAAACUUAAGCUGAGGAUAUUUGCCAAGUGGAGUUGAAAAGACAGAGUCAGUUUAGUUUAUAGAUGAAUCAUAAAUGUUAUAAUUGCUGGUAUUAGCUUAAGGCUUAGAAACAAUAUUGAGUGUUUUAGUUUUCUUUUGUUUGGAAGACAGCCCUAAUCCCAGGUUGGGGAAUUUGUCCUAGUAGCAGUGACUUUGGGCUACCCGAAGAUGGCAUUGAUUUCAGAGAAUCGAGUUCACUGGCUGGCUUCUCUUUUCCUGAUUUGAGACUGUCCUGUUUGGUUUAGUUGGGUACCAAUGCCAAAGUUCCUUACCAAAGGAAAUGUUCUUGCUUCAUAAAUGGGGAGAAGUGAUUUGGCUGGAAGCCAGCUUUGAGAGAAAUGUUAAUUACUUCGUGUUUAACUGGUGGGAAUGUUUCAUACAGUAUUAAUGUACAUGUUACAUAUAGAAACGACAUGGGCGUGUGCUGUAUCUGUUCCACGUAGUUGUUUGCAAAUUCAGUCCUCCUAAGAAAAGCAUCUGACUAAAAAUAUCUAAGCUUGGGGCUUAAAACCAGGGGUACCUUUUAUUGAUUUUUAAAUUGAGCCUCUAUACCUUGAUUUCUUUACUGUGAAGGACUGUUGAAAAAGUUCAAGUUUAAUGUAAUAAUGGAACAUAGCUUUCCCAAGAUAAGUGAUGUUUUGUCUGCUCCCCCCCCCGCCCCCCCCCCCCACUUUAAUGUGGUCUUAAACACAAGACUCAUGAAUGACUGCUUUCUCUGUGUGCCUUUUGGAGAGAAACUAUGAAUUGACCACAGCUCCAUCUGCACAAACUCAGUGCCCAAACUAGCACCUAAUGCUUUUUAGGUGGAAAACAAAACAAAACAAGACAAAGCCAAAGCAAGAACUUCUCUGAACCCUCUUGUCCCCUGUGCUGGUAGCUAGAGAUGAGGAGAGACCUUCUCCAGCCCCAUCCCUUAGGUCUAAUGGUCACCAACUUCAUUCUCAAGUGUGAGGUUCAUUUUUCUCCCUCUGUGUGUUUUUAUGUAGUCAUCGCAUCAAGGCGAGGCAGCCUGCUGAAAGGAGGACUUGGUGUUUAGGUAGUUCCUGUUCUGGCUUGGUCAUCAGUUGGCUGUGUGGCCUUGAACAAGUUACUCCUCCUCUCUGAGUCUCACUUUUAUUUUAGAGUGUGUAGGUUGGAUGAGAUUAGUUGUUCUCUCAAUGCUUGCAGAUUCAGUGUUCCUUUAUAACAAAUGUUCUGGUUAUUCUGAAAUAAAAUUCCAUGUCCAUAUGACCCAAAUGCAUAUAGACUUUUAAACAAUGAGUAUAGUAUCCUAACUUUAGUACAAAGCAGAAAAAAGGAAAAGCAGUUUUUAAUAACAUGGGCUUCAGUCAGAAGGCUUCAGUCUUGCCAUCCUAGAUGAUAAGAUGAAAUCAUAGAUGCUUAGCCCUGUGUGUAAUCAUGAGCUACAAAUGCAGAUCAAUGAGCAUUGUAUUGGCAAUAUCACGAACAGCAUUGGAUAUGAUAUUCUGAAAUGGAGCACAACUCCCAAUAAAGUUUUGAACAAAAUCUUAGUCAUGCCUUGAUUUACAUAGUAAGCACAUUUCUGGAAAAGUCAGUGUACAUUAAAACCAUGCAACUAUUACUUUGUGUUUUGUGUUAAAAAAAAACCCUUUUAAAAAAUCUCACUAAGCAAUGAGAAUUCAUUUUUAGGAGUUGAACUGGGGAACACAGGCCCUACUUAGAAAAUGUUGACACAUAGCUCAGUUUAUUUGCUCUGUAUCUUGUCUGGCCACUUGUCAUUUCUCAGGUCUCUCAUUUGAACUGUAACCACACAGGGAACAGUGGUGAAGAGUCUAGAAUAAUUUUUGGAAAGGAUUCACAAAAGCAAAAAAGGUUGACCUGUACUCAUCUGGGCACGCACCUUAAUCUUAGUAACUUUGAAAUAUGAAAAACUCCUGCUUUGUCAACAGGUAAAUGUCAAUUUCUGUAUGAUUGAUUCAACAUCUAAUAAAAAAAUCAAGAAAA